UACGGAGGGAGCUAGCGUUGUUCGGAAUUACUGGGCGUAAAGCGCACGUAGGCGGCUUUGUAAGUUAGGGGUGAAAGCCCGGUGCUCAACACCGGAACUGCCUUUAAGACUGCAUCGCUUGAAUCCAGGAGAGGUGAGUGGAAUUCCGAGUGUAGAGGUGAAAUUCGUAGAUAUUCGGAAGAACACCAGUGGCGAAGGCGGCUCACUGGACUGGUAUUGACGCUGAGGUGCGAAAGCGUGGGGAGCAAACAGG
rnacentral:ncRNA from 2 species